rnacentral:rRNA from 1 species
AUUGAACGCUGGCGGCAGGCUUAACACAUGCAAGUCGAGCGGGGAAGGUUGCUUCGGUAACUGACCUAGCGGCGGACGGGUGAGUAAUGCUUAGGAAUCUGCCUAUUAGUGGGGGACAACAUUCCGAAAGGGAUGCUAAUACCGCAUACGCCCUACGGGGGAAAGCAGGGGAUCUGCGGACCUUGCGCCAAUAGAUGAGCCUAAGUCGGAUUAGCUAGUUGGUGGGGUAAAGGCCUACCAAGGCGACGAUCUGUAGCGGGUCUGAGAGGAUGAUCCGCCACACUGGGACUGAGACACGGCCCAGACUCCUACGGGAGGCAGCAGUGGGGAAUAUUGGACAAUGGGCGGAAGCCUGAUCCAGCCAUGCCGCGUGUGUGAAGAAGGCCUUUUGGUUGUAAAGCACUUUAAGCGAGGAGGAGGCUCUUAAGGUUAAUACCCUUGAUGAGUGGACGUUACUCGCAGAAUAAGCACCGGCUAACUCUGUGCCAGCAGCCGCCGUAACAC